ACCAUCUCCCGUCACUUAGGCCCCAUGCCGGCGGCCGGCCGGGGUGGAGGCGCAGCAGGGGUUGCUGGAGUGGCGGAUGUGGGGGGGAUCCCGUCGCUACUCCAUGACAGUGUCCAGUUCAAUGGGUAGGGGUAGAAAGCCAUGGAGAACUUGGGAGAGGAGGAAGGUGACGGUCCAGCCCGCGGUGUUGGGCAGAGAGAGAUGUCGGCAAAGGUGGCGGUGGCGCUGAGUAGAGAGAGCAUGGCAUCGGCAAUAGCAGCAACUGGUCUCUUCUCUUCGUAUCCUCGAUGUGGGUGUGGGCUAUAGGAGUGCGAGCAUUGGAAACCUCUUCCUCCAUAAUCUUGCCAUGUGCUCCUCAACUAGACAAGGAGAGCAACCUGCAUGAGGAGACCCAGGUGAAAACGAGUGUGCUAGCUGAGGCUCCGAGGAUGCAGGGUGAUAGGGCCCAGUCUAUGCUCCGGUUGUGUUGUUGGCCCAUGGACGAGGAAGCGGUGGUCAAGAUGGGCAGGGAGCAUCACGAUAUACAUCGCCAACGCGUGCAACUCGCCGCCAUCAUUUAGGAUGGAGGACCUUCCUGCGGUAACUUCCAUUCCACCAGGCUCCUUUUUGUCUCUCCAUAAAUUACAUAAAGGGAAAUUGAAUAUUUACUAAAGUGUUUUCUUAUAUUACUUCACGCUAUUUUUCAGGUAAUGUGAAAGUUUGGGGCAUCUUGCAUAACUUGCAAUAAUAGAUCAUCAAACAAAACAUGUUUGCACCUGUGUAGAUUUCUCUUUCAAAUAUAUGCACAUUUAUCUCAUAAUGCCAAGUAGUGGCUGUUAGUUCCAGUCAAUAUGCCUAAAAAUUCAUCCUUUCUUGUCACACGAAGUUCAAGCAAUUAUAAUUUCACUACUGCCACUGAAAGAGGUCGUUUGGUCACGCAUUGUUUCCACAAGUUGGAGAUGGUCUGGAGAUUCCACUGCAAUCUUUGUUUUGAUGGCCUCGCUACUCUGGAUGGUGACACAGAUGACGAGUUCAUGGGUACUACCAAAAUAAGACAAGCAAAUUUCAUUGAGAAUAUAAAUUGGGUUAGUCAACAACAUAGUGUGAUAGGAAUCAAUAAGUUCAGCAUCAGGUGUAGACUACACAAACAGGACUCCGAUAGGCUUGACAAGUGGAUUGAGUUUUCCACUACAUCGAAGGAAAAUAUAAUAGCUUUUUCUCUGGUAAUAAUUUAUUAUCCAUUUGAAUUUCACCACUUCUAGCUUGAGGUUUUAGGCACGCAAGGUAGCUCAUUUGUGCAAUCCUUGUUCAUCAUCGGCGUUUCUAUAAAGCCACACUCGGGAAUAUGUGGCUUUACAGUACUCAUCAAGCUUGUUCUGAAAUGUCUUCAGAUAUUUGGAGACAUUCCAGGCUUCUUAGCAAACUAUCUGACACUUGAGGACUUAGAGAUGAUCAAGUGCUCUGGUGUAGCCAAUUUAAGCAUACCACACCAACUUGAUAAACUUCAGCAUUUGCUAAUUAAGAAAAUGGAUGUCGAGGCGAUUGAGUCUCAUGCUGCUGAUCUUGUUCAUUUUGAGUACAUAGGAAAAGAGAUUCCUAUAACACUUAAUGGUCGCUCAAAGUUAGAGAAGGCUACAAUAAUGUUUGAAGGCACUAAUGGACUGGAUCAUGUAUUCAUUAUAGUUCCAAUCAUUUUGGGAGGGAAGAUGCUAAAUGUGCAAGCUCGUAUAUUUGCUUAUGAACAGGUUACCCCAGUGUCUAUUUAUCUAUUCUUGUUUUUACCUCAUAGUUAUAGAAGAAUGGGCUCUAAUGCCAUUCAUUUUGUCCUCUCAAAUUUCCAGUUGCAGAAGCUGACACCAAGGCCAGACCACAUGUUUAUACAUUAGAGGCAUAUGACUUGUCAAUUAACUGUCAUUUAUCUUAACCUAACAAAUUGCGACAAUGGUGUUUUUCAACUGGCCCACUGUUUGGAUGUUGCCUUCCUAUCCAUAAGUUUGUCUUUAUACUGCAUAUUAAUUCACUCUUUUGGGUAGGUAACUAAACUCCUGUAGCUUUACAUAAUCAUUGAAGUUGUCUUUCCCAAUCCGAGUUUUGCUUUACAACAACUUGAUUGCUUGUGUAUUUGUGUAGUUUUCUGCAUGUUCGUACAUCUCUGAAUGUUGUUCCGUUCCUUGAUAAAUACAUCGCUCUACAGGGUUGAUUAAAGAAGUUAACUCUUCUUCAUAACAGUUUUUCAAAUGCCCUGAUAGGAUGAUCCUAAACAUGGAUAGUUUAACUUGGUAUAUCAGCUCAAACACCUGAUCCGCAAAAUGGAGUUCCAUUGGUCCUAGCUGCUGUUCUGAAUCCUUCAAAAAGAAAAAAAAGUUCUAUACUAAAUAAACUAUCUGCUAUAUUAUUUUUAUUUUGAGUCUUGCUUCCAUCCAUCUACUUAUAGUACCCUGGGUAGCUACAACAGUGAUGCUCUUUCUUUCUCUGUAGGGAAGCUUCGGACGGGAUUUACAGAAGGAAAAGGAGACCCGUGCGAAAUCGAGCGUCCUGGUGUUGGGACUCAUGAUCCACACUUGUUGUCUAAAUGUAGUACAUGCGCAUUGUAGUGGUAAUGUUGUUAACUGUCCCUAUAUAUUCCUUAGAUGUCUAAUAAACCAAGAAUUUGACACUUGCCAGUAAGUUCAGUAUAUCAUCGUUUACUUAGACAAAAUACAUUAUGGUCAAAUAAUACAAAUAUUUCACAGGUAGAAAAAGCAUACAAAUAUUAAUUUUCAGUAAAAUGAUGAAGUGUUCAGAUAUAUCAAUGCUUUCACCUCACUUGUCAUGCUAUUAUGAACUAAAUUUUUAGUUUAAUUGCUAUAUCAGAAUCAAAGUAACCCAUUCGACGCUUGACUGUAUCUUAGCAUGCUUAUUGUGUACAUUCCUUAUGUCAUUUUUACAGAUAAAUUCAUUUGUGUCAAGUAUCGCUUUUUGCCAUAUGGACAUGACAAAAGUUGGAACCUAUUCUUGAUUUCCCAUAGUGGUUUUGAUGGUAUUUGGUCAGUGUGUUUCCGGCUGGAAUUGCAUGUAUAUCUUACAUAUUUACAUUGCAACAAUUAAUAAGGAGAAUAGAAGCAUUUGCAUCCUCUAAUAGACUAAUACUUUGCCUGCCAUGCUUAGCGAGAAUUCAAAAUAGUGACCUUUGGAUAUCAAUUAUGGGUUUGUAAUUUCGUGCCAGGACCUAAAAGUAUUUUUGUCUCAUGCUUCGACUAUCAUAUCUAUUUUCUCUGUAAAUUCUAGACAUCCAGUUCAGAUUAUGAUCUUUGCAUCCCCUUUUUUUGUAUUUUCUGAAAUAGGGCAACAUUACAAAAAAAGAGCCACAUGUUUUAGAAAUUGAAUCACCAUGACAGCUUUUCAGGUUAUGGUUCUUUAGCCAUUUAAUGCAGUAUCAAUGGUUCAGUGUGCUUCAUGAAAUGAAACAUAAUGUAUAGUUCAGCAGUUUUGAGCCUUACCCGCAUAUUUUUGCUUCACCCGUCACCACAGAGGUCUUACCUCACCUUGACCAUGUAGCCACUAGGAGUAUGACCAAUAUGUGAUCGUUCUUAGAGUUGAAAUUCUAAUUUCCGUACUAAAUCAAUUGCUUCCUUCAUCAAGUUAUUCAUAGCAAACCAGUAAACAUGAAUUUUAUGUGUAUAAAUUACUUCUUUGUUUUCCAUUUAUUUUGUUCAAAAUAUUUAUAUGGCAUUUUUCAAAAAGCUUAAGGUUAGAGAUGUGUUGCUGUAUGAGGCUAUUGUUAGGAUGGAAGAUAAAUUAAUGUUAAAAUAUUUUUGAUUUCCUUUAUUCUGUAAACGGCAAUACAAGAUAUGUUUGGGCCACAUGAUUCUAUUCCAAAAUUUUAAACAACUUGGCAAUUAACAACGCAUCAAAUGUCAUGUAUUGAAAAUUUGAAUGGAUCACUUUGUCAGGUUGGGUUUAGUAGGUCAUAAUGGUUUUAUUCUACGACAAGAUUGGUUUGUUUAUAAUGUAACUAGUUCAAGGAUUGACGAGUUUUUGAGCCCUAUGACCUAUGUACCCACAGGUUCAGCUGUGUUCUUUGUGAAGUAUAUGUCCUGCAAGGCUCAUGGGCGUUGCACUGUUUUCAUUUUCCAAACUACAGUCUAUACUCCCUCUGUAAAGUAAUAUACUCCAAGCUACAAUCUUUAGUGAUCUGAACGGUCUUAUAUUAGUUUACAAAGGGAGUACUUGAUAGGAUAUUCUUUAUAUUUUGCUUGAUUCCAUCAGCCGGAGAACAUAAAUUAGCAAUUAGGUAUCUACACAGUGUAGUGGAACCAUUGUGCUUGCUGUAGUUUUAUUCUAGCGUUGAAAUGUUCUUCUUAGUUUGUUCUGUACUAAGAAAUAUUUUUGUUUUCUGGCCAUUGUUUUCUCAAUCCUAUAAACAUACUACCUUAUAUGGCCUUUGAAGUUUCCGUUUUAUAAAUAGCUUUGCACUGAUCAAGUUGAGUAUGGUAUGGUUUAUUCUUUUGUCUUGUAGCUAUUCCAGAGAAGUUUAGAGCUCCACAACCUUAGCAGAGAUGAAACAAUCAAUCAGCUAAGAUGCAUCACAUGAUCUUUUUCUCUUGACUUUGAUGGGUAUUGAACCUAUAGAUCAGCUUAUCAAUGGAACUCUUAUCGGCGUUCAGAAGGUGGCACAAAAUCUCAUAUGCAGGGCGAUCUGCUAAGAAGCAUAGCACCAGGAAGGACUUUUUGGAUGGUACCGCGGUCAAAUGCAUCCUAGGAUAGGUCCUUUAAGAAUAAUGGUAUGUUUCCCUCCUUUUGUUUACCAGAGGCACAGAGGUUUAGCCUCAAUUUAUUAUGAUAUUUUUGUUUAGAGUAGAUGCAGACCUGAUACUUACCCAGGUUGUGAGAGCUGGUGAUGAUUCUAUUAAAAGUCCCUUGUUGCCUGGAAUGAUUGUCUCUGCAAACAUCAUAACUAACGCCAUAUGGUUUCCAAUGUGACUAAGAUG